GGUUCGAUCCUGGCUCAGAUUGAACGCUGGCGGGAUGCUUUACACAUGCAAGUCGAACGGCAGCACGGACUUCGGUCUGGUGGCGAGUGGCGAACGGGUGAGUAAUGUAUCGGAACGUGCCGAAGGGGGAUAACUUACGCGGAAAAGCGUAGCUAAUACCGCAUACGCCCUUCGGGGGAAAGCGGGGGAUCCUCCCGCACUUCGCACUAUUAGAGCGGCCGAUAUCGGAUUAGCUAGUUGGUGGGGUAACGGCUCACCAAGGCGACGAUCCGUAGCUGGUUUGAGAGGACGACCAGCCACACUGGGACCGAGACACGGCCCAGAUCCUACGGGAGGUGCAGUGGGGGAAUCUGGACAAUGGGGAACCCUGGUCCAGCCAUCCCGCGUGUGCGAUGAAGGCCUUCGGGUUGUAAAGCACUUUUGGCAGAAAGAAACGGCACGAUAAUACCCGUGCAACUGACGGUACCUGCAGAAUAAGCACCGGCUAACUACGUAGCCAGCAGCCGCGGUAAUACGUAGGGUGCAAGCGUUAAUCGGAAUUACUGGGCGUAAAGCGUGCGCAGGCGGUUCGGAAAGAAAGAUGUGAAAUCCCAGAGCUUAACUUUGGAACUGCAUUUUUAAUGAGCUGAUGUGUCAGAGGGAGGUGGAAUUCCGCGUGUAGCACACGUGAAAUGCGUAGAUAUGGUGGAGUGAACACCGAUGGCGAAGGCAGCCUCGGGAUACAACACGACGCUCUAUGCACGAAAGCGUGGGGAGCAAACAGGAUUAGACACCUCUGGUAGUCCACGCCCUAAACGAUGUCAACUAGCUGUUGGGGCCUUCGGGCCUUGGUAGCGCAGCUAACGCGUGAAGUUGACCUGCCUGCUGGGGAGUACGGUCGCAAGAUUAAACUCAAAGGAAUUGACGGGGACCCGCACAAGCGGUGGAUGAUGUGGAUUAAUUCGAUGCAACGCGAAAACCUUACCUACCCUUGACAUGUCUGGAAUCCCGAAGAGAUUUGGGAGUGCCUGCAAGAGAACCGGAACACAGUGCUGUAUGGCUGUCGUCAGCUCGUGUCGUGAGAUGUUGGUUAAGUCCUGCAAAACGAGCGCGAAUCCUGUCAUUAGUUGCUACGAAAGGGCACUCCAUCGAGACUGCCGGUGACAAACCGAGAAGGUGGGGAUGACGCCAAGUCCUCAUGGCCCUUGCAGGGUAGGCUUCACAUCGUCAUACACCGGUUCAUUUUGGUCCGCCAACCCGCGAGGGGGAGCCAAUCCCAGAAACCCGAUCGUAGUCCGGAUCGCAGUCUGCAACUCGACUGCGUGAAGUCGGAAUCGCUAGUGAAUCGCGGAUCAGCAUGUCGCGGUGAAUACGUUCCCGGUCUUGUACACACCUCGCCCGUCACACCAUGGGAGUGGGUUUACCAGAAGUAGUUAGCCUAACCGUAAGGAGGGCGAUUACCACGGUAGGAUUCAUGAUUGGGGUGAAGUCGUAACAAGGUAA
rnacentral:rRNA from 1 species